GUGUGUGUGUGUGUGGGUGUGUGUGUGUGUGUGUGUACAGCAGCCUAUAAAAUGCCGCUGCUGCUCUCAAGUCUCAUUCACCUCUGAACCAACAUGAAGGCCUACCUGCUGUUACUGCUCCUGCUCCCGGUCUGCCUGGCUGACUUCACGAUCCAGUGCUAUGGAGAAGACCACCUGAUGGUCCGGAACCAGGUCCUGAGCUGCAGCAGCAGAACCCAGCAAGCCUGCUACACCCGGGUGACCGGAGAGAAGGGCUGUGCUCGUCUGGACCUGUGUGAGCGUCAGGGCUGGAAGUGCUGCUUCACCAGCCUCUGCAACGCCUGAACGCAUCGCAGGGCUGCUCCUCUGGUCGGCUCCUCUGGUCAGCUCCUCUGGUCGGCUCUUCUGGUCGGCUCCUCUGGUCGGCUCUUCUGGUCCUUCUCCUCAAUUCACCUGGACCUGAUGUCUGUUCUGUCUGCCUUCAUCUUAUCGGACAAGAAGCUCAGCUAACUAGAGCUCAGCUGACUAGAGCUGAGCUUACUAGCGCUCAGCUAACCAGCACCCAGCUAAUUAGUGCUUAGCUUACUAGAUUCAAGCAAACCUUUAUUCUGAUGUAUACGAGUGAAAUAAACUGAUGAAAGUGUG